UGCGCAGGCGGUUCGCUAAGACAGAUGUGAAAUCCCCGGGCUUAACCUGGGAACUGCAUUUGUGACUGGCGGGCUAGAGUAUGGCAGAGGGGGGUAGAAUUCCACGUGUAGCAGUGAAAUGCGUAGAGAUGUGGAGGAAUACCGAUGGCGAAGGCAGCCCCCUGGGCCAAUACUGACGCUCAUGCAAGACUGGGGGUAGGCGAAACAG
rnacentral:rRNA from 1 species